GAGGUUUUAGUAUAAUUUUUUGUAUUUUGUUUUUUCGCAAUAAAGGUGUCAAAAAUCUU
rnacentral:tRNA from 1 species